UAGGGAAUCUUCCGCAAUGGACGCAAGUCUGACGGAGCAACGCCGCGUGAGUGAAGAAGGAUUUCGGUUCGUAAAACUCUGUUGUUAGAGAAGAACAGCGCAUAGAGUAACUGUUAUGCGUGUGACGGUAUCUAACCAGAAAGCCACGGCUAACUACGUUCCAGCAGCCGCGGUAAUACGUAGGUGGCAAGCGUUGUCCGGAUUUAUUGGGCGUAAAGCGAGCGCAGGCGGUCAAUUAAGUCUGAUGUGAAAGCCCCCGGCUCAACCGGGGAGGGUCAUUGGAAACUGGUUGACUUGAGUGCAGAAGAGGAGAGUGGAAUUCCAUGUGUAGCGGUGAAAUGCGUAGAUAUAUGGAGGAACACCAGUGGCGAAGGCGACUCUCUGGUCUGUAACUGACGCUGAGGCUCGAAAGCGUGGGUAGCAAACAGG
rnacentral:rRNA from 1 species